UACGGGGGGGCAAGCGUUGUUCGGAAUUACUGGGCGUAAAGGGCGUGUAGGCGGUUAGUUAAGUCUGGCGUGAAAGCUCUCGGCUAAACCGGGAGAGGUCGUUGGAUACUGGCAAACUAGAGGACGGUAGAGGCGUGUGGAAUUCCGGGUGUAGUGGUGAAAUGCGUAGAGAUCCGGAGGAACACCAGUGGCGAAGGCGACACGCUGGGCCGUACCUGACGCUAAAGCGCGACAGCAUGGGGAGCAAACGGG
rnacentral:rRNA from 1 species